AACGAACGCUGGCGGCAUGCCUAAUACAUGCAAGUCGAACGAGACCUUCGGGUCUAGUGGCGCACGGGUGCGUAACGCGUGGGAAUCUGCCCUUGGGUUCGGAAUAACAGUUGGAAACGACUGCUAAUACCGGAUGAUGACGUAAGUCCAAAGAUUUAUCGCCCAGGGAUGAGCCCGCGUAGGAUUAGCUAGUUGGUGGGGUAAAGGCCCACCAAGGCGACGAUCCUUAGCUGGUCUGAGAGGAUGAUCAGCCACACUGGGACUGAGACACGGCCCAGACUCCUACGGGAGGCAGCAGUAGGGAAUAUUGGACAAUGGGGGCAACCCUGAACCAGCAAUGCCGCGUGAGUGAUGAAGGCCUUAGGGUUGUAAAGCUCUUUUACCCGGGAUGAUAAUGACAGUACCGGGAGAAUAAGCCCCGGCUAACUCCGUGCCAGCCGCCGCGGUAA
rnacentral:rRNA from 1 species